rnacentral:misc_RNA from 1 species
GAUGAAGAACGCAGCGAAAUGCGAUACGUAAUGUGAAUUGCAGAAUUCAGUGAAUCAUCGAAUCUUUGAACGCAUAUUGCGCUCUCUGGUAUUCCGGAGAGCAUGCUUGUUUGAGUAUCAGUAAACACCUCAACUCCCUUUUCUUUUUUGAAAUUGGAGCUGGACUUGAGUGAUCCCAACGCUUUCUUCCAAGAAAGUGGCGGGUUGCUUGAAAUGCAGGUGCAGCUGAACUUUUCUCUGAGCUAUAAGCAUAUCUAUUUAGUCUGCCUAAAAAACAGAUUAUUACCUUUGCUGCAGCUAACAUAAAGGAGACUAGUUCUUGUGCUGACUGAUGCAGGAUUCACAGAGACAGCUUCGGCUGACUUUGUAAACUCGAUCUCAAAUCAAGUAAGACUACCCGCUGAACUUAAGCAUAUCAAUAAGCGGAGA